AGGGGAGAUGGAGGGCAGGAGGGAGGUGGCAAGGGACUUUAACCCCGUGCUGGGAGGGACGCCUCCAUUCUCCCAGUCUCCUCCCACUCACUGUGUCUCAAAGAGCAGUCACGGCCCCUGCUCCUCCCUGGGCUUCUCCACCUCCUGAAAAGCACCACUCAGUGACUGGAGCCAGAAAUUGGGGGGGUCAUCCCCUCCCCACUGCCUUCCCCUCUGCCCCAUCCGUCACCAGUCCCGUCCCAGCCCCUCUUCCCUCAACACCACCACCAUCUCAUUUCCCCUGUGUUAGGUAGGAGCCUCCGGAUGGUUCUCCCUGCUUUCCUACCCCCGCCCCCCAAGCAGCUGGGAGGAUAGUUCUAGCACCCAGACCUGACCACAGAGCUCUCCUGCUGAAACUCCUCCCACGCGCCCCAUCCCAGCAAGCAAGGGCAAGCUUCUUGGUUGACACCAAGACUUCCUUAUCCGUGGCAUCGUGACGCAGGUGGCGGGGAGCGGAGGUGUCCUAGGCAUAGACUCCACAGACAUGGUAUGAGUAACGACAACAAAAAAAUGUCUCUCUAAAUAUUUGAAGGUAAAAACACCACAGACAGAAGAUCUGCAGACUACAAAUUAAAGAAGCAAGCCACCA